GACGAACGCUGGCGGCGUGCCUAAUACAUGCAAGUCGAACGCUUCUUUCCUCCCGAGUGCUUGCACUCAAUUGGAAAGAGGAGUGGCGGACGGGUGAGUAACACGUGGGUAACCUACCCAUCAGAGGGGGAUAACACUUGGAAACAGGUGCUAAUACCGCAUAACAGUUUAUGCCGCAUGGCAUAAGAGUGAAAGGCGCUUUCGGGUGUCGUUGAUGGAUGGACCCGCGGUGCAUUAGCUAGUUGGGGAGGUAACGGCUCACCAAGGCCACGAUGCAUAGCCGACCUGAGAGGGUGAUCGGCCACACUGGAACUGAGACACGGCCCAGACUCCUACGGGAGGCAGCAGUAGGGAAUCUUCGGCAAUGGGCGAAAGUCUGACCGAGCAACGCCGCGUGAGUGAAGAAGGUUUUCGGAUCGUAAAACUCUGUUGUUAGAGAAGAACAAGGACGUUAGUAACUGAACGUGCCCUGACGGUAUCUAACCAGAAAGCCACGGCUAACUACGUG
rnacentral:rRNA from 1 species